rnacentral:rRNA from 1 species
AUUGAACGCUGGCGGCAUGCCUAACACAUGCAAGUCGAACGAAGCCUUCGGGCUUAGUGGCGGCCGGGUGCGUAACACGUGGGAACGUACCUUUUGGUUCGGAACAACUCAGGGAAACUUGAGCUAAUACCGGAUGAGCCCUUAGGGGGAAAGAUUCAUCGCCGAGAGAGCGGCCCGCGUUAGAUUAGCUAGUUGGUGAGGUAAAGGCUCACCAAGGCAACGAUCUAUAGCUGGUCUGAGAGGAUGAUCAGCCACACUGGGACUGAGACACGGCCCAGACUCCUACGGGAGGCAGCAGUGGGGAAUCUUGCGCAAUGGGCGAAAGCCUGACGCAGCCAUGCCGCGUGAAUGAUGAAGGUCUUGGGAUUGUAAAAUUCUUUUACCAGGGACGAUAAUGACGGUACCUGGAGAAAAAGCCCCGGCUAACUUCGUGCCAGCAGCCGCGGUAAUAC